GACAACUGCUGUUUGACAACUGCUUUGACUCAGUGCAGCUGCUCAAAAUGCCAAGGCCUUGAACUGACCUGGGCUGCUGAAGGUCUGCCAGACUGUGCUUCAUGCGAACCACAGCCAUGUCCACCAGCGAAUUCAGCUGGCAGGAAUGUCACCCUUGCAGGGUGGAUUACACUCCACAUCAUCUCUAGAGACUUGGAGGAAGGGUUGGCUGUAAUUGAUUUAAAGGCUGUAACACCAGCAAGCCUGGGCAGGGGCGGACAGUCCCCCGAUGUUUUUUGUACCUCAGGAAUCCAUCUGUUCAAUGGAUUUGUUCAAUGACCUGCAGCAGCUCAGCUAACUGACUAGAGCAUAAAAAACACAGUGAUGUGAGUGCCAGGUUUUUAGAGGCAGACAAAUUGCUGCUGAAAGGCUUCAUAGGGAAGGCAACCAGCCCUGGCUCUUCAGGGUCAGCUGAAGUCCUUGAUAUAAUGCCAGAGAGAGAGAAUGGGACAAUAUGUACCUCUUCCAGACUUUGACACUCAGCUGUAAUAGGAGGUGGUGUCAUCCUGAUCAGGAGCAAGAGAUUUAUCUCACUAAGCUCGCUCUGGGCCAGAAGACCUGGGAAUGAACUUCAGUGCAGAACUUAGCAUAUGCUGAGAAAAGAUGGGAACAGUGCAAGCCACAUGGGAAGCAGACCUACAGCUGCUUACUAGCAGAAGGGAUGGAGGUUAAUUGCAUUUACAUAAAGCCACUCUUUGCCCUCAGCCACAUGUGUCACAUUGUCUGGCUGCAAAAAGAGGCCUUAAAGAAGGAGCAGAAGCUAUGUUUGGAAGGGCUUCCUGGGUUUUUUGUCAGGACGUGACCCUCACCUGUGUUUGUGCAUCUCAGGAGCAGCCAGGAAGAGGACACUAGAAGACAAAACAGUAAGCAGAAUGUAACUGGGAGAGAUACUAGUUUAGGCCAGAGAUAGAGGGGUAGGCUAUACUCCCUGCUCCAGAGUCCAAGAAGAAGGAACUGAGGAUCAGAUCUGAACAUGUCUUUGCCUUCAGUGACAAAGACCUUAGACAAACUAAAUGUGGAAAUCAAAAGAAAAAGAAACAAGGAGAAGCCUGUUGAAAAAUGCCAAGGACGGACAACAUGAAGCUUGACUUUCCAGAUCCAUCUCAUCUGAACUAACACUUGCCUUGGCAGAAGGAUCUGAGUAUCUGGCAGCUUCAAUUUUGAAUGCUUAAUUUUUAAUUUCUCUACUUACACAUCCUCCUAAAUGACUGUCCUCCAUGAACCCAUGAUUUCUGGACUCUCACCCAUAUUCUACUCUUAUGUUCUAUCUCCUGUCAAGCUCUUUGUGUGGUUGUUCAUCCGUGUUGCCACCUCUAACGCUAUUGCUUUUGCCAACAGAGGCACUUGCCCUGAAGAAAAAUACAACUCUUCUCGCACAUUCAGUACAACCCUGUCUCCUCCCUGCAAUUCAUGCUCAGGCUCUCUUCUUCCACCUUGAAUUAUCUAAUAUCAGUCACUGCAGCUGCUAGUUGACUCCAUGGAAACUCUUGCUAUUAAAAGCAUUUAAAAUGCCACUGAUUUGGAAAAAAAAUCCUUCACUACCACCACAACAACUACAAAAAAUCAUCAGCAAAACCUCUUGGAACUUGUAGAAGAGCAGCUGAAAUGACACAGGGAAAAGACAAGUAAGAAGCCAGUGGGUGGAAAUGAGAACCAGGAGGUAGAAGGCCCUAUGAUAGAAAAUCCACGAAACCCAUAAGUAAAGUGACGAAAGAAACAAUGCAUUGAAGGGCUCAUGAGACAUCAGAAGCUGAGCUCUUCAUUAACCUAUCAUCAUGUCUUCAAACAAAGAUAUUUAUUUAGGCACUCUUCUCUCCCAGUGCCCAGUCAAUUAUCUGAAUUUGUAAUUCUCAACCUAAUUAUCUUAGAAAAUAUUCAUACUACACAUGCACACUCAUACUCCCCUAAUUCCUUUUCUAUCCCUAUGUUUUUUAAAGCAGAUUAGAGUUUCAGUGGGAAGUGUCCCUGGAAGGACUCAGGGCUCUAUGGGAAUGCUGAUUCUCAGCCCAUCUCUGAACAUUUUGCUCUGAGAAUCCUGUGCAUCCAAUAAAGCCAUACAUUUAUAGUCCCAUGAUUAAGACUCUGCUAAACCACCACUCAUCAUUAUAUCUUAAAGAGUGUUGUUAAAGGAGACUUGUAUCAUUAAUCCAUUUUACAACUGCAGAGAUGGGUGCUGCAGGGAAAUUUAUUGUCCUGUUGCCAUGACACCAGGAACAGGCUAAACAUCAACCUUCUGAGCUCUCAUCACCCAAUCAUGGGAUUGGCUUUGAUCUCCUAGUGAAGACCUCACAAAGCUCCAGGCUUCAACUGCCUCUUGGGUCUGCCUGCUUCACCUGUGAGUGUCCUGCCUGGACACUGUUCCCUCCAGAUAUAAAAAGGAAGACACAUGGUCUGAGCACAUCAGCAGAAAUUCAGUUCUCAGUGCAAAAAGCUUUGGAGCCUCAAGACUUCUCCUGAGAGAUGUACAGGAUAUCUUCCUUCCUCGCUGCUUUCACAACUACCAGUUUUCAUCUAGACAGCUGCCAACUCAGAGUCUGGCAUAAAAGGGAACACGAAGGGUUGAUCUGUCCCCAGCACAGUGAUACUGUUUCUCAUUGUGGAUGUUCUUCAGUGAUAAGAAAAGAGACCUCCAGGAGUUCGAGCUGUUGAGCAGUUUAGGUUAGGGGCAACAAACCCAAAUACAGCUUGAGUCCUGCAGAAAAGCAGCCAGAUAAUAACAGAAUAUGCAUGGUUUCACGGCGAACCUCAGAUCCAAGCCAGACAGAAGGAUAAGGUCAGGCAAGCUGGGUCCUGCAGCUGCUCAAAGAAUCGACAUCAGAGCUCUGUCAAUUCAGAGCAUCAGUUUAUCUGUCCUCAUACAAUAAACUCAAUAUAUGUAUAAGUCUUGUAAACCUCUACUUGCUGAACUAAAGCCUUAAUUUACUGAAAUAAAGCCCUAAUUUCAUUAUUUAGCUGCCCACUGUGAGAUGUCACCAUGCUUUAGAUUAAGUUGUCAACAGAAGCUGAUCUGCACCAUUUGUUAACUGCAAAUUAUGCACAUCCAAAGUAAAAGCCUCUGGUAACAAACUGAUGAAGCACAUUGCAUUUCUACAUAUCUGAGCUACAGAGAGGCUACUUGCAUGUUAUCAGGGCUUUGCAGGUAGACUACUUAAUCAUGUGGAUUACAAACCUAAUAUAACAGUGCAACAAUAUGUACUAUAGUCACCCUGCCACAGUGAGUCAGGGAGGUCUGAAUCUGUGAUCCUGGGGGUAUGAUAGCAGCUGUACAUAAACAGACUAAAAACUUGACUGAAACCACUCACUAAAUAAUGCUAAAAUAUUUUGUAACUUUCAUUUGUAAUACAAACUAUGAAGAAGAACAUGGAAGCAAAUGCAAGAUGGCAUGAUGUUAACAAAGUACUGAAUGGAAAAGUACAGGAAGAUAGAAUGAAUAAAAUUACAAAAUGCUCAAGAUGGGAGAGGUAGAAGAGGCAGAGGCCCAAGAAACAGGCACUCUAGUUUCUCAAAGGUUCCAUGCAUGAACAGCGAGUUUUGGCAGCAAAAACUGAUGAUAAAAGUGCCCCAAGGGGUGGGGAGAGGAGGGAGGAGAAAUGAUGUGACUAAAGAAAAGCAGUGCAGCAUCAAUAUCUCAGAAGAAAAUGCUCCAAGCAAUUGCACACCAUUUGUUUGACCUGAAAAUCUUUUAAAAAAAUUGUCUGUGGAAGCAGCUGUAAAAGAUAAAGAUGAAGAUGGAACAAAUUGCAACAUACAUCAAAGUCUGAUGUUUCCAAGCUAAGCCAGUUUUUUUUCAGUGAUAAAGAAACUGAUUUUCUAAAUACAGGGAACACAGCAGGUUUCACUAAUUUAGGCUGCAGUACAGAAUAUGACAAACACCACAGCAAGGUGAGAGGCAGCCCUUUCCCACAAAAGUAUACAUGCAGAAUUCAUGCCUGGGCCAGGAAGCAAGAUGAAACUGUGCUUCUGCUUCACAUGGACAAAGAACCAGACAGGGAUUUAAUACAAAGCUCAACAUUCAAGGUCCCCACUAAACUCAGGAGGGGAGGCAGUUCGAAAUGGACAUCUGCAGAGGCCUUGAGGAAAACAAGGAGAGAAGGAACAGAGAGCAUAGUAAGCAAGACAGGGAUAAAAACACAAAAAAGAAACAUGGGGCUUUCAUAACAUUCCAGAAGAGUUGCAGGGUUUUUGUUUUGCUCCACUAGCAAAGUGUAAAAAAGUGCUUAAUUCUGUACACAUGAAGAAAAGGCAAAGGGAGAAAAGCUCAAGUCUAGCAACCAAAUCCAAAAGAUCCCAUGGAGAUAGUAUGACAAGGGUCCUUGUCUUUCACAGGACCAAAAGACAGUUUGGAGUUUCCCUUCUUCUUUCUCUUUCCUUAUAAAAUCUAAACGAAUGUUCAGUGAAGUAUCUACAACUUCCUGCUUGUUUUGUGGAAAGCACAUUUAGCCUACUAUUCUUGAAACCCCAUCUCUUCCCAGCAACUCCAGUUACCAAGUUAUAGAGGGAGAAAAAGCCUCUUUGCCUUUCUAAAAUUUGGGAACAGCAACUUUCAAAAGUUGUCCAUGAUGUGCUUUGUUGGGUCAAACAGUACUGUUCAUUUUUUCUGACACAUAAGCACCUAGACAAAUUGAAGGAUUUUUCUCAUCCUUUUCAGUAAUAUCAACUGUAAUGACUUCUAAGGCAAUAUUCCAAGCAGUUAAAUUGCUACUUUUUGCAGGUGCUCAGUAAGACUUGCUCAAACAUCUGGGCAAAAGAAAUCACCAGAUAUGGAUGAAUUUCAAUGAAUUAGUACCAAAACUAAACUGGCAGCAAAAUUCUUUGCAACAAGCCACCCUGCUUGCUAAGGUAUCUUGGAAGACAGCCUACUUAAUCAGCUCUGUAACUUUUGGCCCUCAAGUUUAGCAAGAGAAGACACACACAGAGAAAUCCAUGUAUAAGCAACCUGGUCAUCUCUGUAGAGCCAAGCACCUGGAAGCCUCUUUUUGGAGUAAGCAGCUGUAAGGAGCUAACUUCCCUGGAUCAUCCAGCACAGGGUACAGCUGCUCAGUCCAUGCCAUGUUUUCAAAAUGAAGGUGAAAUGCAAAAUGAAAAGCAUGCAGUUAUUUUAGCUCCUUUCAUAAAUUAUUUCAUCCACUUUUCAACAAAUUCUACUUCUCUCAUUUCACUGCAGAGGCAGGGAGAAGGUUUCAGAAGAAAACAAGCAAAAAUUCAGUGUAAUUUAAGACAAGACAAAGACUAAGCCAUUUCUAAUAAUAUUAACUUAAUUUUUCUCAGGAAAACAAACAUAGCUGCAAGGCCAAGAUUGACUUUUCUAGCAUGGUUCAUAUCCUACAACUCUCAGAAUCCACUGUGCCAUUGCUACUCCUUUUCUCUUCCACUGGAAGAGAAACAAUAGCAUGAAUGUUUAAGAAUAAGGAAACAUACCAAGCAAGUGCUUAGCCUCCAUGAUCUAAAUAUUUUUAGUGCUGAACCCACAGGCAAGAGUGUUUGAUUGGAGCUUUACAACAUGCCAAAUGUGCUGGAACAGUAAAACAGCCCUGAGUAGCCCUCAGGUAGCUGGUACCCUGCUUCUCUCUUAACAGCAGUUCACUGUCUGUCAAUACAUCCUAGAGGUUAUGUGAAGUUCAAGGCUAUUUUACUUUAAACUGCAUUCCUGUUUUUGUUUCCAUCACCAACACACAAUCCAGGCCUGACUAACAAACCAUAGGUGGUUUGCUUCCACCCUAAUGUUGGAAGAAGGGACAUUUCCCUCCCUACCUUCCAUGUAUAAAGCAGGAGGCACAAAGGUAGGAGAGGGAGAAGAAAAACCAUUGUUCUUCCUCCUUUGCAGCAUAUAUUUGCUGAAAACCCUAAGGCAGGGUAAGAUUGUCAGUUCCAUGCAUGAACUUGAGACUGCUGAUCAACAGUAUGAAGAAGGUAAAGCGGUUUUCAAGCACCAUAUAAAGCAACCUCCAAAUGGUUUAGUGACAGAACUUCAUUUUUUCAGCAAUUAACUCCAUGAAAGCUCUAAAAAGAAGCAAAUACAAUGAAAAUAAUAACAUUGUUUUGAAGU